ensembl:lncRNA
GCGGAUGGAAAACUUUGGCGCGCGCUCUUGAAAGCUUCCUCGCGCUGUCUUCUUUCUUUUCUUUCGUUGGCGUUCUCCAAAGGGCUGCUGGAAAUGAAGACACUUUUUGAUAGAGAUCUUUCUUCCCCAAUCACGCUCUUCCGCGCAGACAGCGAUGUUGCGUGCACUUUAGACGCGUCGUCUGAACUCGCGAGCGUUCUUGCAGUGAGUCUUGCCCUCGCCCUGGGCAGAUUGAGACUCGCGCGCAGUCCUACUCGAGAGUGAGUAAGAGCGCGAGGCCCCGCGGGAUUAUCACUCUGUCCAAUCAGGAGGGCGUUUUAAUUAAGAAGAUUAGAAACCGGCAUGCUCCUAAAUUCAACUAUAGCAAUAAUAACUGCUGAACAAUUUGAUGGCAUAAUGCAAUUCAUGGCCGGCACAUUGUGCUGAACAGCCACUACACCUAACAUUCUUUAAGAUUACAAUCAGUUACACAGAAUUAACGCAGUAUUGCUGUAACGAAAUGUUUCUGUUUAGUUAGGCUAACUAACGAUCAAAACAACUUAAUGCAUAGCGUGCAUUUAUUCUGCCACUUGCAGCCUUGUGAACUCAUCGGUUAACAAAUGUAACGUAUCCUAAGUCAUAUAAUUAUUGAAGAUUUGAUGACCACUGAAUUCAUUUAUUAUUAUUAAACCGUGCAUAAAAAGUUCUAUGAAAUGGUGGCUUGGCCUUAAGAGUAAAUAAAUAGUCAGAAUAAACUAAGACUUAUGAUAAACUAUAGCCUACAUUUUCUCUAAACUGACACCUCAGUAUUUGUCUUUUUACCAUGCAGGCUAAAUUCAGUUUGUUGUAUAUGUGACCUGACGCGUGUCUCUUGUUGGACACGGAGGAAGUGAAUGGGGAGGAGAGCACGUGCUGUGAGGGAUUAAUCGCAUGGUCUGGAUGAGGCCCAAAAGUGAGCUUCAACACCUCCAGCCAAACUCCAAGGCCGCUUCAUCUACAAUAAAUGUGAAGAUGAGGACAUUUUCCUGAGUAUUUGCGGGCUAUUCCCUUUGCUGGGGCAGCAGCGUGUGAUCAGCGGGAGUUUUUUUUUUUUUGGAGCAGAGGCAAGCGGUUCUCUGAGAGUUAUCAUUCAGCGUGUGAUAUCAGGCUCCGAGGCCCUCCAGCCAAACACCCGCCAGAGACGUCUCCUGCCGAUGUCCUAACACGCCAUGAAAUUAUAGGGCUCCUUGGCUAUUGUGAGAGAGGUGGCACAUUUCAGAGUAUUCCCAUUUUUGUCUGUGUUUUCAAACCAUUUUCCACAUCAGAAAGUAGUCAUUUUGGGUAUGAUGUUAUAUCUAAGUGUGAUUCCAAAGGGCCAGAAGAGAUAACAAAAGCUGCACAAACCCACUCGCGUUGAACAUCAAGACCACAGAGCAUGAUAAAGAUUGUGUAGUAAUGGCCUGAGAGUAGAAAAUCAAAUGGAAUAUAAUCUCUCUGCCAUAUAAUAGCCACUGACCUUCCGCAUACAGUUCUAUAAUGAUGGCAAACACAUGCUUAUGUGCGUGAGAGGACGUUUCAGCUCUGCAAGAAACCAUGCACGGCACAGACAACAGAAUGCUCACACUUUUAUUUGGUUGUUGCUAGGUGACUACUGGUGCACAGACGAACAAGUCUGACAAAAGCAUCUUACAAUUUAGAUCAGAUUUUAACAGCUUUAAUUCCAUCAUUCAUACAUGACAAGUGCCAGCACAAAGAACAGAAGCAAAACGACCUUUGGUUAUAAUGGAGUAUUAUAAUGAACCUUUUAUAAUGAACAGUUCUUAAAAAAAUUUUGAACAAUAAAAUAAAAUAAAAAAUUCACUAUAACGAGCACGAAAAUUUGCUGAAAAUUGACUCACUCUCAGACCAUCCAAGAAGUAGAUGUAGAAAUUUAGCAUUACAUAAUUUGCUCACCAGUGGAUCCUCUGCAGUGAAUGGGUGCCGCUGGAGUCCAAAACAGCUGAUAAAACAUUAAAAUAAUCUAUUAUCCAUCAGUUAACAUCUUCUGACGUGAAAAGCUGCAUGUUUGUAACAAACAAGUCUAUCAUUGAGGUGUUUUAACUUUAAACUGUCAAUUCUGGCAAAAAUAGACAAAAGUCCACAAUCCAUAAUAAUACUUCUUUCAGUGAAAAGUCCAUCCCCUGUUGUCCUCUCACAUCAAAAUCCACUGACAUAUUGGGUUAGAACAGUUUUGGACUGUUUUUGCUUGUAAACGGUGCUUGAUCUGUGCAUAUUUCUCUCCUGAUUCAGACUUUUUCACAAGAGAAAGUGUCAAUAUGGAUUAUAGACAUGAAUUUUAGCUAGAAGCAAUGGUUUAAAGUUAAAAUUGUCUUAACUGUGUAUUUAUUACAAUCAUGUGGCUUUUUGCUUCACAAGGCAUUAACUGAUGGACUGGAGAGGUGUGGAUUACUUGUGGAUUACUGUGAUGUUUUUAUCAGCUGUCUGAACUCUCAUUCAGAUGGCACCCAUUCACUGCAGAGGACUUUGUAUACAACAUUGAGAUAAUAUGUCACUAAGGCCAGAGAGGUUACAAUGAAUUUAUUCCAAAAUCUACCAGAGAAACAUAUUCAGACAGCAAUUUUUGGAAAUUUGGUCAUAUUCAGAAAAAGCAAUUUGGGUAAUAGUGAGGAAAGAAUAAACAUAGACAUUCUGUGGCUUAUUCUGUAGACACUGUUGCAUAACAUAUCUGAGAAAAUAUGUAAUGGUUAUAUUAUGCAAAUUAAAAUAGAUAUAUGUAGAAUAGCAUCAUUCCAACUCUUACCCCAAACCCAGUUACUUCUAACAAAAAGUUUUAAUUAUGUAUUUAUUACAGUCAUGCAGCUUUUCACUAUACAAGAUGUUAAUUGAUGGACUGCAGUCAUGUGGAUUACUAAUAGAUUAUUUUGAUGUUUUUAUCAGCUGUUUGAAGUCUCAUUCUGACGGCACCCAUUCACUGCAGAGGAUCCAUUGGUGAGCAAGUGAUGUAAUGCUAAAUUUAUCCAAAUCUGUUCCGAUGAAGAAACAAACUCAUCUACACCUUGGAUAUCUUGAAGGUGAGAACAAUUUCAGUGAAUCAUUAUUUCUUUAUGGAUCCAUCAAUGCCAAUAAAGAACCUUUAUUUUUAAGCAUGUAUGAUGAUAACAUUUGUAGAUUUUGUAGAUAACAUAAUUCUUUUAAAUGGACAUUCUUAAAGUAUAGGUCACAUGAUUAAAGUGUCAAGUCACAGUUAUAGCUGUGCUAGUGGAGACUAACAAACGCUAAAUAAUGUUCUGCUCUACCACGGUGAACUUGAGUGAGUGGCCUGAGCAAAAGUAAAAGCGAUUUUUUACACAGGUUGUAAAGAUGACGACCUCCGUAGAGGAAAAUAUAUUUAGUGGUACAAAACAAAGCAUGACUCAAUUGUGUAUUGGCACGCUUGGGGUGCAACUGAUCCGCUGCUCCCUGUUGCCACAGCAACCGCAGGCUAGACUACUCCAAGGUGACAUGCCACUUGAGGACUGUGAGUCCCACUGAGAGCCCACAGUGCUGUCCAGAGACCUCAAGGGGGCAGCAGCUGCCAAGAGCUGCAUUAACAAGCUGUACUCUCAGGAAAUGAGUCAGUGGAGGCAUUGUUAGAUCUCAAAUUAUCUUUGUGCCACUAUACUGAGACAGUUUAAUUGGUUUCAGUAUGAAUAGUCUAGUUUUUAAAGAUAUGUGUAUAUUUAAAGGACCUAAGGUGCACUGCUGGAUUGAGGUGCAGAUGACCGGAGGAGCGGGAGGGUAACAGAAGUUUGGAUUAAAUAAGUGACUAAAUGACUAAACUGAGAUAAUCACCAUCUGUUAAACAGAUUGACGAGACAGGUGUAGACUGAAGGAGGCAAGAGAUGCUUAAGAAAGUGCGGAAAUGCUUCAAGGAUGUGAAACAUCACAUUCAAUAAAAUCGAAUGACUUGAUGGUUGGUGUGAGCUUGUUACUCAUCUCUCUUUGAACCUCUCGGAUCAUUAUAAGACCUCCAUUAGCCGUACAAUCUCUCUCGUGUGAAAUUAUAAUUUCUGUCAUUAGAGCGAAGCUUCUCACUGCAGUUUGCAAUUUCACAUAAACACGAAAAUACA